CGGUGCCUUGUUGUGGUGCCGUGCGCCUUGGUAACCCUGCCUAGGCUGGGAUUAGCCGUGCUGUGGGUGCCGGCUCGUUUCGGUUUCCUGACUGGUUGGUAACCAUUUUUUCCCUCUGGAUUUGUGUAUAUUCCUUGGCCUUGGCUCUCGUCUUUGUGCUAUCUUUUCUUAAUACAACGAGAAUGCUCUUUUUUGGGGGGGCUUUAGACAAGUGUAUGAGGCUUUCCCUCCUUUAUUGUAUGUGUUGUGUUGGUGCUCAGCUGAUGGCCUCAGAGCGGGGGAAAAAAUUAAACGAAGCUACUGUGGUCUUUUUCCUUUUCAGGAGUCACUUAAUAAAAUGGAUGGCACAAUACAAGCAGUAAGGAAGAGAUCUUCUCUUUGUAGGGUUGCUCAGGAAUCUGCUUCUAAUGCUGUGAAGGUUUGAUGCCCUAAAACAGAAGCCAUAGAAUGAGUAUGGACUGGUGUAGGGGCAAAAUCAUUAUUUUCUAAUCAUGUUUCAUUGAAGGCAACGAAAAAAACCGGCUUUGGGCAAAAUAUCCAUAUCUCUUGUGGCAAAGAUCCAGGAGGCAGCCACUUCUGCUGCAGGUUAGAAUUCAGAUUCACGUGGAAGCACUUGACUCCCAAAGCUGUGUCUUCAACCAGCAGAUAGGCGAUGCGUGAUAGAAUUGGCAGAAUUGCACUGCUCUGAGCACUUUUGGAGACAUAUGCUGCUUUUCCCACUCCUGGAAGUAGUCCCACAGAUGUCUCAUGAUUAUUCGCUUGAGUCAUGGCUGCAGAGUUGACUUUUUGGUAGUUUGGAUUCCCAGAUUCCUACACUGCAUGUUUAAUAGCAGAGCAAAUUCUGACUGAAGACCUGUCCGGUUGAACACAGGGAGGAUGCGUUUAACCAAAACCCAAUAUUUUGAACGUACGCUAAAUCGCCUCCUGGCUUAGAACGCUGUUUGGUGAAAAUGAGACCUCUCCAAGGAGAAGGAGACGCCGAACGAGGCGAAC